AAGCCAUAAGCGAAACGUCCAAUCUAAAGCUUGACUUAGUUAUAAUCACCAAGGGUUGGCCAAUCUCGUGCCAGCCGCCGCGGUUACACGAGAAACCCAAAACAACGACCAACGGCGUAAAUUGUGGCUAGAAUAACUGCUAAUAACUAAGAAAUAAACCAACGCCUAACCGUAAAACACAGGUAAAAUGAAACUUCUUACACUAAAAGCAAUUUGAACCCACGAAAGCUAAGAAACAAACUAGGAUUAGAUACCCUACUAUGCUUAGACGUAAAUAAGACACCAAACAACAUAAGUGUCCGCCAGAGAACUACAAGCGAAAAGCUUAAAACUCAAAAGACUUGGCGGUGUCCCACACCCGACUUAGAGGAGCCUGUCCUAUAAUCGAUAACCCACGAUAAACCCCACCACCUUUUGCCCAACCAGCCUAUAUACCGCCGUCGCAAACCUACCUUACAAAAGAACAACAGUAGGUGCAACAGUUAACACACUAAAACGUCAGGUCAAGGUGUAGCUAAUAGGGUGGAAGAGAUGGGCUACAUUCUUUAUACCUAAAGCAAACAGAAAGAACCAUGAAACAGGUUCCCAAAGGAGGAUUUAACAGUAAACUUGGUAAGAAAACCAACUUUAAACUCGCUCUGGGACGCGCACACACCGCCCGUCACCC
rnacentral:rRNA from 1 species